CAGAGAGGGACUCCGGGGACCCUCUGGUGGACAAGAACCUGAAGAGACAGGGCUUUCAAGAAAAUUACGACGCGAGGCUCUCACGGAUCUACAUCGCCCACAUGCUAAGGGAGCAGGUCCAGGAGCUUUUCAAUAAGAAAUACGGGGAAGUCUUGGGUAUCAAGUACCCGGUCCAGGUCCCCUACAAGCGGAUCAAGAGUAACCCUGCUCCGUGAUCAUUGAGGGGCUGCCCCCGGGAAUCCCGUUCCGAAAGCCCUGCACCUUCGGCUCCCAGAACCUGGAGAGGAUUCUUGCCGUGGCCAACAAGAUCAAGUUCACAGUCACCAGGCCUUUCCAAGGACUCAUCCCAAAGCCUGAUAAAGAUGACGCCAACAGACUCGGGGAGAAGGUGAUCCUGCGGGAGCAGGUGAAGGAACUCUUCAACGAGAAAUACGGUGAGGCCCUGGGCCUGAACCGACCAGUGCUGGUCCCUUAUAAACCGAUCCGGGACAGUCCAGAUGCCGUGGAGGUCACGGGCCUGCCUGAUGACAUCCCCUUCCGGAACCCCAACACCUACGACAUCCACCGGCUGGAGAAGAUCCUGAAGGCCCGAGAGCACGUCCGCAUGGUCAUCAUUAACCAGCUCCAACCCUUUGCAGAAAUCUGCAAUGAUGCCAAGGUGCCAGCCAAAGACAGCAGCAUUCCCAAGCGCAAGAGAAAGCGGGUCUCGGAAGGAAAUUCCAUCUCCUCUUCCUCCUUGUCUUCCUCUUCCUCAUCCUCUAACCCGGAUUCAGUGGCAUCAGCCAAUCAGAUCUCACUCAUGGUAAAGUUGCACAGAUUUGGACUCCAGCCCUCGU